GAAAAAUUUCAGAAAUUUAAAAAAAAAUAUUCAAGUUUUCUUCUCCAGUUACAAUCUCAAUCAAUACUAGUCAGAGUUGAGUUACAUCUGUGAAUGAUCCGCCCAAGCAAACAUCAAAAUCCCAAAAGUGGAGGAAGAGGUUAAUCACUAAGCAGGGGAACC